UACAGAGGUCUCAAGCGUUGUUCGGAUUCAUUGGGCGUAAAGGGUGCGUAGGCGGGUCUUUAAGUCAGGGGUGAAAUCCUGGAGCUCAACUCCAGAACUGCCUUUGAUACUGAGGAUCUUGAGUUCGGGAGAGGUGAGUGGAACUGCGAGUGUAGAGGUGAAAUUCGUAGAUAUUCGCAAGAACACCAGUGGCGAAGGCGGCUCACUGGCUCAUUACUGACGCUCAGGCGCGAUAGCGUGGGGAUCAAACAGG
rnacentral:rRNA from 1 species